rnacentral:rRNA from 1 species
CCUACGGGGCGCAGCAGUGGGGAAUAUUGCACAAUGGAGGGAACCCUGAUGCAGCGACGCCGCGUGCGUGAAGAAGUAUUUCGGUGUGUAAAGCUCUAUCAGCAGGGAAGAAAAUGAAGGUACCUGACUCAGAAGCCCAGGCUAACUCCGUGCCAGCAGCCGCGGUAAUACGUAGGGGGCAAGGGUUAUCCUGAUUUACUGGGUGUAAAGGGAGCGUAGACGGUUAUGUAAGUCUGAAGUGAAAGCCCAAGGCUCAACCAUGGGACUGCCUUGGAUACUGUACAAUUGGAGUGUAGGCGAGGUAAGCGGAAUUCCUAGUGUAGCGGUGAAAUGCUUAGAGAUUAGGAGGAACACCAGUGGCGAAGGCGGCUUACUGGACUGUAACUGACGUUGAGGCUCGAAGGCGUGGGGAGCAAACAGGAUUAGAUACCCUAGUAGUC